rnacentral:rRNA from 1 species
UACGUAGGGUGCGAGCGUUAAUCGGAAUUACUGGGCGUAAAGCGUGCGCAGGCGGUUCGUUAUGUCCGAUGUGAAAGCCCCGAGCUCAACUUGGGAAUGGCAUUGGAAACUGGCGGGCUGGAGUGUGGCAGAGGGGGGUGGAAUUCCACGUGUAGCAGUGAAAUGCGUAGAGAUGUGGAGGAACACCGAUGGCGAAGGCAGCCCCUGGGCCAA